rnacentral:rRNA from 1 species
UUCGAUUAGAGUUUGANCCUGGCUCAGAUUGAACGCUAGCGGGAUGCUUUACACAUGCAAGUCGAACGGCAGCGCGAAGAAAGCUUGCUUUCUUUGGCGGCGAGUGGCGGACGGGUGAGUAACGCAUCGGAAUGUGCCCAGUAGCGGGGGAUAACUACUCGAAAGAGUGGCUAAUACCGCAUAUUCUCUACGGAGGAAAGAGGGGGACCUUAGGGCCUCUCACUACUGGAGCAGCCGAUGUNAGAUUAGCUAGUUGGUGGGGUAAAGGCCUACCAAGGCAACGAUCUGUAGCUGGUUUGAGAGGACGACCAGCCACACUGGGACUGAGACACGGCCCAGACUCCUACGGGAGGCAGCAGUGGGGAAUUUUGGACAAUGGGCGAAAGCCUGAUCCAGCAAUGCCGCGUGCAGGAUGAAGGCCUUCGGGUUGUAA